GAGGGUAUAGCUUAGUGGUAGAGUGCCUGCCUAGCAUGCACAAGGUCCUGGGUUCAAUCCCCAGUACCUCCA
rnacentral:tRNA from 1 species